GAAAAUUUUAGUAAAUUAUAGUCAAUUUUUAUGCAAUGAAACUAUAUAGCUCUUUUUGUUAGAAAUUGUCUUACUAACUAAGCUGCUGGUGGUUCUGUGACGAAGUAGCUCCUGUUGGCUUCCCUUACACCGGGUCAGACACAGGACAUUAAUUAAGGCUGUGUGUGGUGUUUCUGAAAGGUGAGGAGACUGGGCAUUCUGUCUUUUACUCUACAGAUACAUCGUGGGAGACUCAAAGAUUAAAAUGUGGCCACUCACUGUGGAUCAGAAGCAGAAUCUCACAUCAUAACCCCAAAUGACCUGUUACUCACCAUGUGGCCCAGCUGUCUUCAAACUCACCAGCCUCCUGCCUUAGCCUUCUAAAUGCUUGGAUUACAGGCAUGACCCACCAUAACUGGCUUUGUUUUAGUUUCAGAGAAGAUGAAACUGAUGUGCGUCAAAAAGUUAUGGAGGCUGGGAAGACCUAGAAUGUGGCAUCACUAUUUGCUGAAAUUUUUAAUAUAAUGCCUCUUAGCCUGGUUUGGAGAAAACGUCACAGAGAGGCACCAUUUGUUGUGGUUUUACAUGAAAAUUUUCUGACCCUGAACCUGGUUUGAUGGAAAUCAUUUGCUGAGGUAAUUAUCUCAAAUUAACUACCAAGCUGAUGAAUCGCUUACUACUUAAAAGCUGUGAUGGGGAGAGGAGUAAUUGAGAGCGGCCUUGUUGGGAGGGGAUGUGGACAUUUUUUUUUUCAGCAGCCAAUCAACUUAGAGGUUUUUUUUUGUUUUGUUUUGUUUUGUUUUUGUCUUGUUUUUUUUUCUGUGUAGAAUCUGAAUGUAUUGUCACAAGGUGAACACCAG
rnacentral:lncRNA from 1 species